GAACACAAACAGAAUUGGGGAAGGGAGGAGGAGCUCUCAACCCUCACAACCUUUGAUCCACCAUAACUCCUCCGUCCGGGCUCCGAUCACCGCACCAUUUGUGGCCACGCGUCCAACGCAUCGAGCUCUACCUUUCUAUCCAAAAAAUUUCACUGGUUCAAGUUAGCUUCCAGGACUUAUGGGCUCAAGCUAUUGAGCAUAUGGGUGUAGAUUAAGUGGGU